rnacentral:rRNA from 1 species
AGGAAUAUUGGUCAAUGGCCGGAAGGCUGAACCAGCCAUGCCGCGUGAAGGUCAGUGCCCUAUGGGCGUUAAACUUCUUUUGUGCGGGAGCAAUAAGGUCCACGUGUGGGCCGACGAGAGUACCGUACGAAUAAGCAUCGGCUAACUCCGUGCCAGCAGCCGCGGUAAUACGGGGGAUGCAAGCGUUAUCCGGAUUUAUUGGGUUUAAAGGGUGCGUAGGCUGUGAGGUAAGUCAGCGGUAAAAUGUCCGGGCUCAACCCGGGCCGGCCGUUGAAACUGGGGGUCUUGAGUGGGCGAGAAGUAUGCGGAAUGCGUGGUGUAGCGGUGAAAUGCAUAGAUAUCACGCAGAACUCCGAUUGCGAAGGCAGCAUACCGGCGCCCUACUGACGCUGAGGCACGAAAGCGUGGGGAUCGAACAG